rnacentral:rRNA from 1 species
CCUACGGGUGGCAGCAGUGGGGAAUAUUGGGCAAUGGGCACAAGCCUGACCCAGCAACGCCGCGUGAAGGAAGAAGGCUUUCGGGUUGUAAACUUCUUUUGUCAGGGACGAAGCAAGUGACGGUACCUGACGAAUAAGCCACGGCUAACUACGUGCCAGCAGCCGCGGUAAUACGUAGGUGGCAAGCGUUAUCCGGAUUUAUUGGGUGUAAAGGGCGUGUAGGCGGGAAGGCAAGUCAGAUGUGAAAACUAUGGGCUCAACCCAUAGCCUGCAUUUGAAACUGUAUUUCUUGAGUGCUGGAGAGGCAAUCGGAAUUCGGUGUGUAGCGGUGAAAUGCGUAGAUAUACGGAGGAACACCAGUGGCGAAGGCGGAUUGCUGGACAGUAACUGACGCUGAGGCGCGAAAGCGUGGGGAGCAAACAGGAUUAGAUACCCUUGGAGUC